rnacentral:rRNA from 1 species
AGAGUUUGAUCCUGGCUCAGAACGAACGCUGGCGGCAGGCUUAACACAUGCAAGUCGAGCGCCUCGCAAGAGGAGCGGCAGACGGGUGAGUAACACGUGGGAAUCUACCCAUCCUUACGGAACAACUCCGGGAAACUGGAGCUAAUACCGUAUACGCCCUUCGGGGGAAAGAUUUAUCGAGGAUGGAUGAGCCCGCGUUGGAUUAGCUAGUUGGUGGGGUAAAGGCCUACCAAGGCGACGAUCCAUAGCUGGUCUGAGAGGAUGAUCAGCCACAUUGGGACUGAGACACGGCCCAAACUCCUACGGGAGGCAGCAGUGGGGAAUAUUGGACAAUGGGCGCAAGCCUGAUCCAGCCAUGCCGCGUGAGUGAUGAAGGCCCUAGGGUUGUAAAGCUCUUUCACCGGAGAAGAUAAUGACGGUAUCCGGAGAAGAAGCCCCGGCUAACUUCGUGCCAGCAGCCGCGGUAAUACGAAGGGGGCUAGCGUUGUUCGGAUUUACUGGGCGUAAAGCGCACGUAGGCGGAUCGAUCAGUCAGGGGUGAAAUCCCAGAGCUCAACUCUGGAACUGCCUUUGAUACUGUCGAUCUGGAGUAUGGAAGAGGUGAGUGGAAUUCCGAGUGUAGAGGUGAAAAUUCGUAGAUAUUCGGAGGAACACCAGUGGCGAAGGCGGCUCACUGGUCCAUUACUGACGCUGAGGUGCGAAAGCGUGGGGAGCAAACAGGAUUAGAUACCCCAGUAGUCC